rnacentral:tRNA from 1 species
GCCUGUGUGGCUCAGUGGUUGAGCAUCUGUCUUCGGCUCAGGGCAUGAUCCUGGAGUCCUGGGAUCGAGUCCCACCUCGGGCU